GGUAAGAAGCAAGAACUCAGUAAAACAACAUGCACGAGGUCUGUAUGGGGGUGAGAAUGAGAUCCUAUAUCAUGCAGCUCAGGUUAUUAAUUGUCCAGGCAGCACAUCCGACCCCAAACAUCCAAGAUCCAACGCUCGGAGCCUCGGACUGCCCAGCUCCCAACCAAAGAGGCCUGAAUACGCAAGUUGAUCUCUAUAUAGGUAGCCGG
rnacentral:lncRNA from 1 species